ensembl:lncRNA
ACGGAGACAACAGUGACUACAGAAGUAACAACAGAAGGUACUACAGCCAAACCCACUGAAACUUCGACAUCCGAGGUUUCAAAAGCUGCGACUGUAUCAACAACAAAGCCACUUGAAGAAGAAACCACUGGCACAACAACUGCUGCUACAACAGCUGUAGUUGAAACAACCACCUCAGUGCCACAGCCCUCAACAACUAGCCCUGAAACAACAGUUGUAACUUCAACACCAACCGUUGAGACGGAGACAACAGUGACCACAGAAGUAACAACAGAAGGUACUACAGCCAAACCGACUGAAACUUCGACAUCUGAGGUUUCAACAGCUGCGACUGUAUCAACAACAAAGCCACUUAAAGAAGAAACCACUGGCACAACAACUUCUGCUACAACAGCUGUAGUUGAAACAACCACCUCAGUGCCACAGCCCUCCACAACUAGUCCUGAAACAACAGUUGUUACUUCAACAUCAACCGUUGAGACGGAGACAACAGUGACUACAUCAGUAACAACAGAAGGUACUACAGAAAAACCCACUGAAAUUACAACCUCAGAGGUUUCAACAGCUGCGACUGUAUCAACAACAAAGCCACUUAAAGAAGAAACCACUGGCACAACAACUGCUGCUACAACAGCUGUAGUUGAAACAACCACUUCAGUGCCACAGCCCUCAACAACUAGCCCUGAAACAACAGUUGUAACUUCAACCUCAACUGUUGAGACGGAGACAACAGUGACUACAUCAGUAACAACAGAAGGUACUACAGAAAAACCCACUGAAACUUCGACAUCCGAGGUUUCAACAGCUGCGACUGUAUCAACAACAAAGCCACUUAAAGAAGAAACCACUGGCACAACAACUGCUGCUACAACAGCUGUAGUUGAAACAACCACCUCAGUGCCACAGCCCUCAACAACUAGCCCUGAAACAACAGUUGUAACUUCAACACCAACCGUUGAGACGGAGACAACGGUGACUACAGUGACUACAGCAGUAACAACAGAAGGUACUACAGAAAAACCCACUGAAACUUCGACAUCCGAGGUUUCAACAGCUGCGACUGUAUCAACAACAAAGCCACUUAAAGAAGAAACCACUGGCACAACAACUGCUGCUACAACAGCUGUAGUUGAAACAACCACCUCAGUGCCACAGCCCUCAACAACUAGCCCUGAAA